rnacentral:tRNA from 1 species
AAAGCAGUAGCUCAAUUGGAAGAGCAGCGCGACGCAAUAGUUUUAACAUUACCCGUGAGGGGUCAAUUAAAGCUUACUUCUAUGCCCUUUAACGCGCGGGUUGCCGGUUCAAGUCCGGCCUGCUUUA